UAGUAUGUAUUUCAUGGAAACAGAGUGCAGAAAGAAAACUAAAUUCAAUUCCAAGCAGUAGUACAGAGAAUGGGCAUUUCACUUGCCACACAUGGUUAAUAAAACACUGCACAACCCGAAGGCCCCCUUUGUAUUCUCUAACCGUGUAAGAAUAACGAACGCCGCCCGGACAAAUCGGUGGACGACGCUGAUACAGAAGACAUCACCAACUCUUUUACACUUAGUUGUACACGCCAAUUUACAGGAUAUAUGUAUAUCACCAGCACGUCAAGGGAAAAAGAAUGCCGCUAUGAAUCUCUCUACCAUGGUACUACUUCCUCACUCUAGCUCCGCUAUGUAGUUGGGUAGCUCACCCUGGCAGAGGUACUCGUCACAGUAGGACAUCGAUCCCCAGCCCCUCCGUAGCCGGAAGAUAUCCUCUGUGAAGGUGGAGCCUGAUGACCCUAUGAAAACGUUCGACAAAGCGCAGAUUGUCUUGUCGAGCAUGGCCUCGACCUGCAUAAGCAAUCGACACGGUUUGCUAACUGAACUAUUGUCUCAAUACGAGAACCAAGAGAAAAGAAAGUGGAUGGGAAUUGAUAUAUACCUGAUCAUCUCCACCCAUGUGUUUUCUGUACAACAAGGCAUCCCAUUUCUCCGAACCUUCAUGCUCUGGUCUUCUCACAAGAGGUACUUGCCGGUCAUUGAAAACAACCAACGACUGCAGAAGAUUCGUCUCGCUCCCAGCAGCAUCAGUCGACAGAUAUAUUACUGGG
rnacentral:lncRNA from 1 species